GUGCCAGCAGCCGCGGUAAUUCCAGCUCCAAUAGCGUAUAUUAAAGUUGUUGUGGUUAAAAAGCUCGUAGUUGAACCUUGGGCCUGGCUGGCCGGUCCGCCUCACCGCGUGCACUGGUCCGGCCGGGCCUUUCCCUCUGUGGAACCCCAUACCCUUCACUGGGCGUGGCGGGGAAACAGGACAUUUACUUUGAAAAAAUUAGAGUGCUCCAGGCAGGCCUAUGCUCGAAUACAUUAGCAUGGAAUAAUAAAAUAGGACGCGCGGUUCUAUUUUGUUGGUUUAUAGGACCGCCGUAAUGAUUAAUAGGGACAGUCGGGGGCAUCAGUAUUCAACUGUCAGAGGUGAAAUUCUUGGAUCAGUUGAAGACUAACUACUGCGAAAGCAUUUGCCAAGGAUGUUUUCAUUAAUCAGGAACGAAAGUUAGGGGAUCGAAGACGAUCAGAUACCGUCGUAGUCUUAACCAUAAACUAUGCCGACUAGGGAUCGGACGGUGUUAUUCAUGACCCGUUCGGCACCUUACGAGAAAUCAAAGUGCUUGGGCUCCAGGGGGAGUAUGGUCGCAAGGCUGAAACUUAAAGAAAUUGACGGAAGGGCACCACCAGGGGUGGAGCCUGCGGCUUAAUUUGACUCAACACGGGGAAACUCACCAGGUCCAGACACAAUAAGGAUUGACAGAUUGAGAGCUCUUUCUUGAUUUUGUGGUGGUGGUGCAUGGCCGUUCUUAGUUGGUGGGGUGACUUGUCUGCUUAAUUGCGAUAACGAACGAGACCUUAACCUGCUAAAUAGCCCGCAUUGCUCCGGCAGUGCGC
rnacentral:rRNA from 1 species